AACGAACGCUGGCGGCGCGUCUUAAGCAUGCAAGUCGAACGGCAAGAGAGAAGCUUGCUUCUCUCCUAGAGUGGCGGACUGGUGAGGAACACGUGGGUAAUCUACCCUUAAGAUGGGGAUAGCUGUUAGAAAUAGCAGGUAAUACCGAAUAGGCUCAGUGCUUCAUAAGAGGCGUUGAGGAAAGGGACCUACGGCUCCGCUUGAGGAUGAGCUUGCGUCCCAUUAGCUAGUUGGUGAGGUAAAGGCCCACCAAGGCGACGAUGGGUAUCCGGCCUGAGAGGGUGAUCGGACACAUUGGGACUGAGAUACGGCCCAAACUCCUACGGGAGGCAGCAGCUAAGAAUAUUCCGCAAUGGACGAAAGUCUGACGGAGCGACGCCGCGUGGAUGAAGAAGGCUGAAAAGUUGUAAAAUCCUUUUGUUGAUGAAGAAUAAGGGGAAGAGGGAAUGCUUCUCUGAUGACGGUAAUCAGCGAAUAAGCCCCGGCUAAUUACGUGCCAGCAGCCGCGGUAACACGUAAGGGGCGAGCGUUGUUCGGAAUUAUUGGGCGUAAAGGGCAUGUAGGCGGCUAUGUAAGCCUGAUGUGAAAUCCUGGGGCUUAACCCUAGAAUAGCAUUGGGUACUGUGUAGCUUGAAUUACGGAAGGGAAACUGGAAUUCCAAGUGUAGGGGUGGAAUCUGUAGAUAUUUGGAAGAACACCGGUGGCGAAGGCGGGUUUCUGGCCGAUAAUUGACGCUGAGAUGCGAAAGUGUGGGGAUCGAACAGG
rnacentral:rRNA from 1 species